UGGGGAAUUUUCCGCAAUGGGCGAAAGCCUGACGGAGCAAUGCCGCGUGGAGGUGGAAGGCCUACGGGUCGUCAACUUCUUUUCUCGGAGAAGAAACAAUGACGGUAUCUGAGGAAUAAGCAUCGGCUAACUCUGUGCCCAG
rnacentral:rRNA from 1 species